AUGCCAAUUAAUUUAACUUGGGAGUCAGAACAUGGGUGAUAAGGUCCGUGUUCGAAAGGGAAACAGCCCAGACCACCAGCUAAGGUCCCAAAAUAUAUGUUAAGUGGAAAAGGAUGUGGCGUUGCCCAGACAACUAGGAUGUUGGCUUAGAAGCAGCCAUCAUUUAAAGAGUGCGUAAUAGCUCACUAGUCGAGUGACACUGCGCCGA
rnacentral:rRNA from 1 species